GAUGAACGCUAGCGACAGGCUUAACACAUGCAAGUCGAGCGACCGGCGCACGGGAGAGUAACACGAAUCCAACGUGCACUUUACUAGGGGAGAGCCUUGCGAAAGAAAGAUUAAUACACGAUAUACGCAAGGGGGUUGAGUUCCAUUAGGUGGUUGGUGAGGUAACGGCCCACCAAGCCUUAGAUGGAUAGGGGUUCUGAGAGGAAGGUCCCCCACAAUGGAACUGAGACACGGUCCAAACUCCGACGGGAGGCAGGAGUGAGGAAUAUUGGUCAAUGGGCGAUAGCCUGAAACAGCCAAGUAGCGUGAAGGAUGAAGGCUUAUGGGUCGUAAACUUCUUUUAUAUAAGAAUAGGUAUUUUAUGAAUAAGGAUCGGCUAACUCCGUGCCAGCAGCCGCGGUAAUAC
rnacentral:rRNA from 1 species